AGCUAUGUGGUUAUGGAGUUUCAGCUUCAGGAAUGCCACAGAUCUCCUGAAAAUGCACUUCCCCCUAGAAGCUUACAACCAUGAGAAAUCUGUACCUGUUCCUAUAUUAGGGAACACUGACCUGGUAUGCUUUCUCAGUCAGCUGCACAGGUGCUGCAUGUAAAUCUUGUCUCCUGUUCUCUUGGAUCCAUGAAAGCAGUGUGGGGAGCAACUGGAGUGGGGGGGAUUCUUGAAACUAUCAAUGCAAAUGGCUUUGUUUUCUCUUCCAGACAGAAUAACUUGUUUUACGACUAGUGAUGUGUUUAAAGAUUUGUCUUGGAAGUGCUGCCUAUAAGGUUACAAAAGGUUAGAUUAAUUUCAUUAUGCCAUAAUGAUCCAUGAAGUUCUGGGAUGAAGGAGAGGAGGAAUGCAUUAUUUUCAUUUAAGGAGUGGUGACUGCUUUAAAUACAAGCUACCACUAAUCUGUUUAUUUAUAUCCAUGAGCACUUGGCUUUAAUGAAUUUCUAAAUAAUAAAAUGCAUGAUUGCUUGUU